rnacentral:lncRNA from 1 species
GUUCUUGUCGGCCUCAUUUUUCCUUGCUCGGGGUUUGAGGUGCCACCUUACAUACAAAAGGAUGGGUGUACACUCUCUUUUCAGAAUAUGGUUCAUCUCAAAGCCCUUUACCCUUUGGAGCCAGGCCUGUUCGAUUUUACAAAUAGCACGUUUUGCUUGUAGUCAGGGUGCUGUGACAACAUGAAAAGUUCAAGCUACCUCCCAGGAUGAGUGCAGGUUUUCCUGGUGACAAAUCUCAGGCAUUCAAAGGUUCUGUUAGCAGUGCCAUACUUGGGUUUACAGAGAUGGUGUGUCUGACUGAGAGCAAAGGAGCCAUACCAGGAAAGUUGAAGCAUAUCUUCAUUUUCAAGUCCAGGCUAAAAUAAGGUCUGAGGAAAAGAAUGAGCUGCGUGUGAAGGGAUAGAAAAAGAAAUCAUGAAAGAUCUGUUUGUCCAGGCCAGUGUUUCACCAUAAGAGAUCACUUUAAAUGAGAUGAAGUAAUUCUUUGCAAUUGCAAAUUUACCUUCCUUGCUUACCACAUUGUUAACUGUAGGAGCUGAUAUCUGGUUCUUCCACUGUUAACUUGNN